GGGAUCACAGCUGGUGGAAUCUACGGUCUUCAAA
rnacentral:tRNA from 1 species